rnacentral:tRNA from 1 species
GGGUGUGUAGCUCAGCGGGAGAGCACUACGUUGACAUCGUAGGGGUCACAAGUUCGAUCCUUGUCAUACCCACCA